rnacentral:rRNA from 1 species
GAUGAACGCUGGCGGCGUGCCUAAUACAUGCAAGUCGAGCGAACAGACGAGGAGCUUGCUCCUCUGACGUUAGCGGCGGACGGGUGAGUAACACGUGGAUACCCUACCUAUAAGACUGGGAUAACUUCGGGAAACCGGAGCUAAUACCGGAUAAUAUAUUGAACCGCAUGGUUCAAUAGUGAAAGACGGUUUUGCUGUCACUUAUAGAUGGAUCCGCGCCGCAUUAGCUAGUUGGUAAGGUAACGGCUUACCAAGGCAACGAUGCGUAGCCGACCUGAGAGGGUGGUCCGCCAGACGGGAAGAGAGGAACGGCCCCCAGACCGAAGGGGGGACGCAGUACAGAAUCCUACGGGAGGGGGGAGAGAGUGAUGGUGCAACACCGGGGGAGGGAUGAUGGUGCUCCGACGGGUAAACUAUGUUAGCCGGGGAGAAGAAAAGUGUUAGUAAAUGUGCGCGUUUUGACGGUAACUUAUCAAAAAGCCACGGCUAACUACGUG